GGGGGCUUAACUGGCAGUUCGACGGGGGCGAUAAUUCAGAAGAGUUUUCGGAUGGACGAAGUGAUAAGCUUACAGUGGCGGACGGGUGAGUAACACGUGAGCAACCUGCCUUUUCAGAGGGGGAUAACAGUCGGAAACGACUGCUAAUACCGCAUAACGCUGCGAUGGGGCAUCCCGAUGCAGCCAAAGGAGCAAUCCGCUGAAAGAUGGGCUCGCGGCCGAUUAGCUAGUUGGUGGGGCAACGGCCCACCAAGGCGACGAUCGGUAGCCGGACUGAGAGGUUGAUCGGCCACAUUGGGACUGAGACACGGCCCAGACUCCUACGGGAGGCAGCAGUGGGGGAUAUUGCACAAUGGAGGAAACUCUGAUGCAGCGACGCCGCGUGAGGGAAGACGGUCUUCGGAUUGUAAAACCCUGUUCUUGGGGAAGAAAAUGACGGUACCCAAAGAGGAAGCUCCGGCUAACUACGUGCCAGCAGCCGCGGUAAUACGUAGGGAGCGAGCGUUGUCCGGAAUUACUGGGUGUAAAGGGAGCGUAGGCGGGCGAGAAAGUUGAAUGUUAAAUCUACCGGCUUAACUGGUAGCUGCGUUCAAAACUUCUUGUCUUGAGUGAAGUAGAGGCAGGCGGAAUUCCUAGUGUAGCGGUGAAAUGCGUAAAUAUUAGGAGGAACACCAGUGGCGAAGGCGGCCUGCUGGGCUUUAACUGACGCUGAGGCUCGAAAGCGUGGGGAGCAAACAGGAUUAGAUACCC
rnacentral:rRNA from 1 species